AAUGGUACGGAUAAAUGAAAGCGAAAAGAUAUGAUUAUUCGAGUACAUGCAAUCAGACAAGUGAGUGAAUGCCACACUCGUAGUCAUUAUAGAAAUGCUGAAGUUAAAAUAAAUAAUUCAAAUGGAUGUGAUCAACUUCAGUUUCGGCUUUCCAUGUCAUCUAUGAUCAAUCUGAUUCAAUGAAGUUGUUCUAGGCGACAACAUCAUAAUGAUCUUUAUGUCGUAGUGCUCUAAGAAUAAGCAAUGGGUCCCUCUAUUCUGAUAUUUAUUGAUGCAUACUGCACGUGGCAGGCAAGUAGAGAAACACUUCUGUGCCUUUGGAAUCUGUUCCACCCACCUCUGAUAGAUAGAGAAGAAUUGAUACUCAUGCACUGCAGUGUUCUUUCUUGAUCAAAACAGUAAUCAAUUCAUUAGGAAGACCAAUAAAUACUAUGCCCAAAACAGCUUAUGCUUUCCUUUUUCCCUCAUCAACCAUGUGAGAUAUCUGUAUCUUCAAGGAACAGCAUUUUGUGAGAUGCAUGAUGGCUCAAGAGUUGCCCAUGAAGGAAGGGUGCAAGGAAAACUAACUGAAGAAGAAGGCAAAGGAGAAUCAUGCAACCCAACCCUCCUGGCUUCACUCAGAAUCAGAUUCUGCAGCACAAAGACUCAGAAAGAAGAAACAGAGAAGGAAUCCACCCAUAAUUAUAUCCCACUUUCAGCUUUAUAGCUUCCCUUUUUCAAGCAUCUUCUCUUCUCCCACUUCCCCCCCCCUGCCACAAGCCAUUUCUGCUUGAUGUCACACAAACACCAGGCAAGUUCCAUUGCAGCACUUCAUUGUCAUUGCAGAUCAUGUCGCCUGACAACUCUCUGGCUUUGCUCAGUUCAUCUGCAUGACUAUGAGAAUGAACAUCGACUGCGAUGGCUGCUACCGAAAGAUCAGGAGAGCUCUUCUGCAAAUGCAAGAGUUGGAGAGCCAUUUGAUCGAGAGGAAGCAGUGCAGGGUCAGCGUGUGCGGGUCGUUCGUCCCCCAGGAUAUGGCGAUCAAGAUCAGGAGGAAGACGAAUCGACGGGUGGAGAUCUUGGAGAUCAAGGAAGUGGAGGCAAGCCAUGAUGGCGGCACAGAUCCCAAACCCCCCUCAUGAAUUAUAGCCGAUCCCAAACCCUCAUAUAAUGCAUACCAGACACAUGGUAAGGUGUAAUAUUUCCUUGAAAGAAGGAUCAUUGCUAUCA